rnacentral:rRNA from 1 species
AUUGAACGCUGGCGGCAUGCCUUACACAUGCAAGUCGAACGGCAGCACGGGUGCUUGCACCUGGUGGCGAGUGGCGAACGGGUGAGUAAUAUAUCGGAACGUACCUUAUUGUGGGGGAUAACGCAGCGAAAGCUGUGCUAAUACCGCAUAAUCCCUAAGGGGGAAAGCGGGGGACCGUAAGGCCUCGCGCAAUUAGAGCGGUCGAUACCUGAUUAGCUAGUUGGUGAGGUAAAGGCUCACCAAGGCAACGAUCAGUAGCUGGUCUGAGAGGACGAUCAGCCACACUGGGACUGAGACACGGCCCAGACUCCUACGGGAGGCAGCAGUGGGGAAUUUUGGACAAUGGGGGCAACCCUGAUCCAGCAAUGCCGCGUGAGUGAAGAAGGCCUUCGGGUUGUAAAGCUCUUUUGUCAGGGAAGAAACAGCAGCUCUAACACAGUUUGCAAAUGACGGUACCUGAAGAAUAAGCACCGGCUAACUACGUGCCAGCCGCCGCAGUAA